rnacentral:lncRNA from 1 species
GUCAGGAUGAGGUAGGAAGCUGGGUGGAGAAACACAGGCUGGGAGGAAAAAGUCCGAAAUCUCAAAUGGAGACAGCAGUAAAAAGUAAUGACUAACACAUUUCCCAACUUGGAAAGCCAGCCACAGCCCACACCAGGGCCAAACUUGGAGCUCUGCUGUUCCAGGGAGGUUGGAGCAGGCUCAUGGACAGGAAAGGAUUGUGCGAGCGACCGCCGCUUGCUGGCUUAGGAACUGUGCUCUCUGAAAAGUGAAAUGGACCCUGAAAGAGAAAGGAAAGGAUGGUUCUGCCUAAAUUCUCCACAGAGAUGAAGGUCUUCUAUGUCUACAAUAUAUUCAUCCACUUACAACCGCUCAAUAGCAAAAAAAAAAAAAAAAAAAAAACCAAAAACCAACAUCAAAGGAAAAGGAACCCUUUUAGGAAAAUUUGAUCCACAUCGCAGUCCUUUGGAGGUUGACAUCCACCGUGGCCUGCUUGCCUGUUCCUUCCAGCUUGAAUUCCUAGGAGCUGAGCUCUUCUUUGCACAAGAGUGGCUGCUAAACCAGUAGGAAAAGAAUGCGACAGUCCACCUCAAGGUCGGCAAACUUUCCUUUCCUUUCCCAGGAAAUUCCCAGGGAAUAGGAAGAGGUGAGAGCUGACAUUAAAAUGUCUUAAUCUAACAGGGAGAUGUUGGAAAGGCCAAGAUGUUGGUUUCAAAUCCUCCGACAGCAAAAACUAUGAGUGGAGGUGACAAGGACAGGACAGACAGACAGCAGGAGGUGGGCAGGGAGCAAGCGGGCGCUUGGAAAGGUGGGGAAUAACCAAGUUGGAUGACUCGGGUGUGGAGGGAGACUCCAUGACCUCAGUGACUCCAGGGUAGCUGAGUCCCGCUCCAGUUUAUUUUGUUUUUUCCGCUGGCAACCUUUAGUAGUAAAUGAGUAUUCCUUGCAUCCAAAGGAAUUUGAUUAAAAAGUAUCAACAGCAAAUAAGCUCAACCUAGUCCAGAACAAAGAAAAUUACAUUUAUUGAUGGCUAAUUAGGACCGCAGUCUGGGAAAGCACAGAUUCAAGCAGUCUAGAUAGUGUGCUGUUGGGUUUUCUAAAACAGUGCUCUUCCUACUCCCUCCCUCCCUACCUUCUCCUGGCUGUUUCCUUCUACCCCUCCUAAGUCUACCCAUAGGAGACCCAAACCGGACUCCUGGAGGAGUCUUUCCUCCAUUUCUGCCUUAUUGACACCACGAAUAAAGUGACUAUUGUUUCAAGUCAAGAUUUGAGCACAGU